rnacentral:rRNA from 1 species
UAAGGUGGUUAUUGCGGCGGGGCUCACCUCUUCCCAUUUCGAACAGAGAAGUUAAGCCCGCCAGCGUCGAUGGUACUGCAAUUAUGUGGGAGAGUAGAUCGCUGCCUUUC